rnacentral:rRNA from 1 species
UACGAAGGGGGCUAGCGUUGUUCGGAAUUACUGGGCGUAAAGGGCGCGUAGGCGGUGUGUCAAGUCAGGCGUGAAAGCCCCGGGCUCAACCUGGGAACCGCGCUUGAGACUGGCACGCUCGAGUUCGGGAGAGGAUGGUGGAAUUCCCAGUGUAGAGGUGAAAUUCGUAGAUAUCUGGAGGAACACCGGUGGCGAAGGCGGCAUCCUGGACCGGCAUUGACGCUGAGGCGCGAAAGCCAGGGGAGCAAACGGG